GAAAGAAUGGACCAAGCACUACAAGCUGCGCUUGCAAAUAAAACAUAGCACACAUUGUCCAUUGAGAAAGAACACGUACUUACUACAGCAGAGGCAUAUCUUCUGAUGAUAUUCUAGCUUCCUGUUCUUGUUCACACUUCUUAUCAUUGUCACUUAUUAUCUUCCCACAUAAAGCAUCAUUCUGCACCUUGAGGACUUUAUUUUCAAUUCUCAGUCUUGCAUUCUCAGCCUCAAGCAGUGAUAAGUUAUUAAGAUUGGCAUUCUUCCUCAGUGAAGCGUUUUCAUCUUUUAGCUUCUCAUUUUCAAGACGCAGUGGAUCGGCCUACAAUGAAAACUACAGAUUUAAAAAUAAAUACCAGCAUAAGCUCAAACAUGUAUGAGAGCAUCGAAUGUUGUCUUUUUGGAAUGAGCUUACGGUAAUAAAAGCUCAAAAUCAUUUGAACUAAAGUUUAUUAACA
rnacentral:lncRNA from 1 species